GCGCGACGCUUCCCAGUCUCCGAGCGCGGGCACAGGCGCACUGCGCGCAGCCGCGGCUCCAACCUUGUGGGUCAAAGGCAAAGCAAAGUGGUCUUCUGGAGGCCUGGCUCAGUGACUUUUUGAGUCUCUGGGUCCUGCCAGAUAGGCGUGCAGCUAUCAAGCUCUGGACAGGUGACCCUG